GAUGAACGCUAGCUACAGGCUUAACACAUGCAAGUCGAGGGGUAACGAGAGGAAAGCUUGCUUUCCUUGUCGACGACCGGCGCACGGGUGAGUAACGCGUAUCCAACCUGCCCCCAACUAGGGAAUAACCUUGCGAAAGUAAGACUAAUACCCUAUAAUUUCCUCAGAUGUCAUCUGUCGAGGAAUAAAGAUUUAUCGGUUGUGGAUGGGGAUGCGUCUGAUUAGCUUGUUGGCGGGGUAACGGCCCACCAAGGCAACGAUCAGUAGGGGUUCUGGGCGGAAAGUCCCCCACAUUGGGACUGAGACACGGUCCAAACUCCUACGGGAGGCAGCAGUGAGGAAUAUUGGCCAAUGGGCGGAAGCCUGAACCAGCCAAGUAGCGUGCAGGAUGACGGCCCUAUGGGUUGUAAACUGCUUUUAUACAGGAAUAAAGUUAGCCACGUGUGGUUAUUUGUAGGUACUGUAUGAAUAAGGACCGGCUAAUUCCGUGCCAGCAGCCGCCGUAA
rnacentral:rRNA from 1 species